rnacentral:rRNA from 1 species
UUGGAGGGCAAGUCUGGUGCCGGCAGCCGCGGUAAUUCCAGCUCCAAUAGCGUAUAUUAAAGUUGUUGCAGUUAAAAAGCUCGUAGUUGAAUUUCGGGGUUCUACCGUCGGUCGGGCUACCAAGUCUGUACUGGUGUGUAGAACUUCUACCUUCUGGGGAACCAUCAUGUUAUUAAUUUAGCGUGGUGGGAAACCAGGACCUUUACCUUGAAAAAAUUAGAGUGUUCAAAGCAGGCUUAUGUCUGAAUACAUUAGCAUGGAAUAAUAGAAUAGGACGGUGGUCCUGUUUUGUUGGUUUCUGAAUCACCGUAAUGAUUAAUAGGGAUAGUUGGGGGCAUUAGUAUUCAAUUGUCAGAGGUGAAAUUCUUGGAUUUAUUGAAGACUAACUUCUGCGAAAGCAUUUGCCAAGGAUGUUUUCAUUAAUCAAGAACGAAAGUUAGGGGAUCGAAGACGAUCAGAUACCGUCGUAGUCUUAACCAUAAACUAUGCCGACUAGGGAUCGGACGAUGUCAAAUUUUAUUGACUCGUUCGGCGCCUUACGGGAAAC